rnacentral:rRNA from 1 species
AGAGUUUGAUUCUGGCUCAGGAUGAACGCUGGCGGCAUGCUUGACACAUGCAAGUUGAACGAAGAUUAGAAUCUUUUAGAUUAUAAUACUUAGUAGCGGACGGGUGAGUAACGCGUAAGAAUCUACCUUUAGGAAAAAGAUAACAAUUGGAAACGAUUGCUAAUAUUUUAUAUGCUGAGAAGUUAAAAGGAUUUCCGCCUAAGGAUGAGCUUGCGUCUGAUUAGCUAGUUGGUUAGGUAAAGGCUUACCAAGGCAAUUAUCAGUAGUUGGUCUGAUAGGAUGAUCAGCCACACUGGGACUGAGAGACGGCCCAGACUCCUACGGGAGGCAGCAGUGAGGAAUUUUUCGCAAUGGGCGCAAGCCUGACGAAGCAAUGCCGCGUGAAGGAUGAAGGCCUGCGGGUUGUAAACUUCUUUUAUUAGAGAAGAUUAUGACGGUAUCUAAUGAAUAAGCAUCGGCUAAAUAUGUGCCAGCAGCCGCGGUAAUACAUAUGAUGCAAGCGUUAUCCGGAAUGAUUGGGCGUAAAGCGUCUGUAGGUGGUUUAAAAAGUCAAUUGUCAAAGACUAAGGCUUAACCUUAGAUAGGCAGUUGAAACUUUUAGACUAGAGUAUGGCAGAGGUAGAGGGAAUUACUGGUGUAACGGUGAAAUGUGCAGAUAUCAGUAAGAACACCAAUGGCGAAAGCACUCUACUGGACCAAAACUGACACUCAGAGACGAAAGCUAAGGGAGCGAAUAGGAUUAGAUACCCUAGUAGUCUUAGCUGUAAACGAUGGAAACUAAAUAUUGCGUUUUAUAUGCAGUAUUGUAGCUAACGCGUUAAGUUUCCCGCCUGGGGAGUAUGCUCGCAAGGGUGAAACUCAAAGAAAUUGACGGGGGCCCGCACAAGCGGUGGGGCAUGUGGUUUAAUUCGAUACAACGCGAAGAACCUUACCGGGGUUUGACAUACUAUAAAUUUUUGGAAACAAAAAGUUAAAAAUAUAGAUACAGGUGGUGCAUGGCUGUCGUCAGCUCGUGACGUGAGACGUAGGGUUAAGUCCUGUAACGAGCGCAACCCUUAUCGUUAGUUGCUAUAAGGAAACUAGCGAGACUGCCAGUGAUAAGCUGGAGGAAGGUGAGAAUGACGUCAAGUCAGCAUGCCCCUUAAAUCCCGGGCUACACACGUGCUACAAUGGUUAAGACAAAGAGAUGCUAACUUGUGAAAGAACAGCAAACCUCAAAAACUUAAUCUCAGUUCGGAUUGUAGGCUGCAACUCGCCUACAUGAAGCUGGAAUCGCUAGUAAUCGCAGGUCAGCUAUACUGCGGUGAAUACGUUCCCGGGCCUUGUACACACCGCCCGUCACACCAUCGAAGCUGACUAGGCCCGAAGCCGUUGUAAACGUUUAAGGCACAGUUAGUAACGAGGGUGAAGUCGUAACAAGGUA